rnacentral:rRNA from 1 species
UACGUAGGGUGCAAGCGUUGUCCGGAAUUAUUGGGCGUAAAGAGCGUGUAGGCGGCCCGAUUAGUCCGCUGUGAAAGUCCAGGGCUCAACCCUGGAAUGCCGGUGGAUACUGUCGGGCUAGAGUCCGGAAGGGGCGAGUGGAAUUCCUGGUGUAGCGGUGAAAUGCGCAGAUAUCAGGAGGAACACCAGUGGCGAAGGCGGGUCUCUGGGCAGUAACUGACGCUGAGGAGCGAAAGCGUGGGGAGCGAACAGG